UGCUUGUCCUGGGAGCCUUUCAGACUGCAGAAUGGCAGGCCCACUCCAGACCUUCUGAAUCAGUGUCUGCAUUUUGUCAGGAUUCCCCUCGGGCGAUUCAUGUCCACAGUCAAGUUUGAGAUGCCCAGGAGGAGGGGCUUGGGGUGUCAGUCUCAGGUCUGCCACACGCAGGAGUCCCUGAGCGCCAGAAUUGCAUAGCAGGGGAACAAAGAAGACAUCCUCACACCAGGAUCCCACCCUGAGGUACUGCCUCUGGGAUGAGACCAAGACAUCAAUUUGCUUUAAAAGACCCCCAGGUGGUUCCAGUGCACAGCAGGUUUGAGUGGCUCUCAGAUUGUCUCUGAGGUUUCUUCCCACCUCUUGUGAGUCUGUGAGUCCUGUCUAUAAGGAAUGGGCCUGUAGAUGCUUUGCCCCUACCCGGGGCUUUAUUCAUGUUUCAGGAUUCAUACAACACUUUUCAUUGAACCCGACCUUUUUCCGUCUGCCGAGAGACUGCAUUCUUGAAUCCUCCUUUAAUAAGCACUUCUGAGGACGCUAACCCCUCUCUGUGGUAACUGUACCCAUGGGGUGGUGUAUUUUAUUCCCUUCCUCUGCCUAGGAAAAGGAGUUAAAAUGUCAUGAAAGAAGCCCCGGGCAUAAAGGCAGGCACAGCCAUCAGUGUGACAGGCUCCUGACUUCUCAGUGAGGAGCCGUGCCCAGCACAAAGUGUCGUGCAGUGCUCAGACCCCGGGAUAUGGAGGAAAGACCUGCACAGCUCACUCUUCAGGUAAAGCUCUCCAAUGUCCCAGAGAACUGACAGAAAAGUCGGCACAUUGCAAAUGCUGCCAAGAGAGCUAAGCAGCAAGUUCCAGGCAAGAUCCGGAUGCUGGGGAAAGCCUGGAUGUUUCUGGUCUACACUCUUGUCUCUUCAUCGGUGUGUGUGCUGAUUCCAUGUAUUCUCAAGAAUUCCAGAUGGUACCUAUUUCAUCCUCUAGACAUUUUCAUUUUGCCAGACUGACCUGCUUCCAGUCAGUCAGAAGACGGAAAGUUCAAGAAUCCUGAUGACCAUUUCACCUACCAUCUAUCUAAGGUGAUGGAAAUCCCAGGAAAGAAAGCAGCACUUUCACUUUGGGCAAGAUGCUCAGUUUCUUCAUCUAUGAGUGAGUCCUACUGAUUCAUGCUGACUCUAGGUGGCAUGUUGGACAUCAAUCAUGUGUAUAUAUCCACACGAAACAGACACAGAGCCCAAAGAAGACGGGGAGCAGAUGUGAAAUGCUCUGAACUGGUUACAGGUGAGCCGGGGAGGAGGAGCUCUGUUUUGUUGGCUGACUGCCUGCUGUUCCAGUAACUGUGUUAGAGGCGUGGCUGCAACAGCCUAGGACCAAGACUUGAAGAUUGGGUUCUGGCCUUGACCUAUGGUGAGGGUCACAAUAGACUUUAUCAUUCAAACCAGGACACUUUUGAGAACCCAAGGAGGCCCUUUAGUAGUUCCUAUGGGACAACAUGUGGAAAUGGGACUGUCUUGGGCAAAGUGGUACAUACAGUCCCCCCACGUCGAUCUUGGGUAAGUCACUGAAGCUCUGUGAGCUUCAGUUUCAUCACUUCUUAAAACAACAAAAAAUACCUGUCCUAUCUCACAGGGUGUGAGGCUCAAAUGAGAUAAUAAAUUUGGAAAGUGUUGUGAAAAUAAGGAAUCACUGUGAAUGUACAGGUUAUUUCCAUACGUCCACAGAGGAGCCCAAAUGUGUGCUGAAUGGGUGAAGGUGGUCAAAAGGUACAAACUUCCAGUUAUAAGAUAAGUCAGUCCCGGGAUGUAAUGUACAGUGUGGUGGCUAUAUUAACAAUACCGUAUUGUAUUUUUGAAGGUUGCUAAGAGAGUAGAUCUUAAAAGUUCUCAUCAGCAAGAAAAAAGAAUUUAUAACUAUGUGAAGUGAUGGAUGUUAACCAAACUUAUUGUGCCAAGCAUUUCACAAUAUAUGCAUGCGUUAAAUCAUUUUGCUGUGCACUAAAAUGAAUACUGUUAUAUGUCAAUUAUAGCAAUAAAACUGGAAAAAAUAAAAAACAUGAGAGAGGAAAAUAA